ensembl:snoRNA
ACCAAGACUCAAGUCACAGUCCGAGUGUCCUGGUGUGCUAGGGCACUUGCAGAGAAUCUGCUGGUCUUGAUUCACUGGUGGAGACAAUCGGUGCCCAGAUUAGAAACAUGC